AUUAGUCUGUCUGACAUCAGUACCGUUCUCAGGAAGGAACAGGAAGAAGAUCCCUACCUGGCUCUGGGACACAUCCUCCAAGUGCCUGUUUCUCUCCCCGACACCUCCAGCCCCAGCUGCAGCUCCAAGCAUAUGAAAAGACCAAGGGCCAGCAGAUGAUGAGGGGAGAAAAGAGAGCCUGAAACCAAGCAACAGGAAAGUGAGAGUAUGGACAGGAAGCUCUCGCAUGAUAACAGUGACAGCAAUUACAGUGAUAGGGCAGGGGGCCCGUCUUGGUCAUUUGUGGGGUUCACCAUUGUCAUCCCAGCACCCAGCACCCAGUGGGGACUCAUAG
rnacentral:lncRNA from 1 species